rnacentral:lncRNA from 1 species
AUGAACUAAGUGCACGCACCUCUGGUUUUGGCCCAAAGUUUUCCUAAUCCUAUGAACAUAUAGUCUCUAGGAAGGUGGUCUCAUAUUGUUGUUACACGACUUUGGCAGCCAUAGCGUCAAAACUGUACGAUUUCAUCAUGCUUUGCCAAAGUUAAGCCACUUGAAUCAUUCUAUAGUCACCCUAAUAAAAAAACCUUCUUGUGCUUCUGCUUUGACCAUCGGCACCCUCAGGUUGUCCUAGCUGAGGUUUAUUCGAGUAGACUGAUGUUUUUUUUUUUUUGGUAAGUAAGAAGUAAUAUAAAUAUAAAAGGGGGGCAAAAAAAAACAAAGAACCGGCUUCAAAGACUCGCACUCAAAAGAACAGUCUCAAAAGAGUGAAAGGAAGCCGGGCAAAGGCCAAGUGGCCAAAAGACGACAAGAUUAUUUUAUGACUGACGCUUGAACCUUAAGAGAUCUCAUAACCCGAAACCUCCGUACUUGAUUCGCUCUAGCUUGAGAUCCGCUACCCUACUCUGUCUACUGAACUGCCUUUACUACCCAUGCCUUGUCUUGUCAUGCCGGCUGUUUCCUACUACUGAGAUGCUACUACCAAUGUGACUUCACUCACAGCUGUGCACUGAUUUGCUCUCUCUUGAGUUGGCUUAGCUCGUUCUAUGGCUCGCUCCGUGCUUGCUCACAACACACUAAGACCAUGAACCGGCUACACAUCAAACUGUGAAGAUAGCAGGGUCCAAUUCCCAGGAGCGUUGUAAUCUUCUGUUUCUUGGGGAAUCCUCCACAUUUUUGAAGGUGCAUGCUUUAUCUUUGACCACCUUCAUGAGAUGCAUCUUCAUAGAAGAAGUAGAAAUCUGCGCACCCCUGAAGAGGAUGUCAUUUCUGUUCUUCCACACAAUGUGGCAUAAAGCACCAAAAGAAAAACGGGCGAUGCAAUUAUGGAAGUCCUUGCCGGAUAGCAAGGCCGAGACCUAGAUAAUUGUUUCCUCCCAUGGAUUGUUCCUCCAAGGAAUACCAGACCUAGCCGCCCAAAAGGAGGCAACUCCCGAAGUAACCCGACAGCCAAAAAAGAGGUGAUUAACUGAGUCGGGCACAUCAUUACAAAAGGGGCAGCAGGCAGCUUCGAUCCUACCGUAGGACAUGAGGAGGGCCUGAGUAGGUAGUCUCCGUUUGGUGAUGAGCCACAAAUUGAGCUGGUACCGAGGCAGAAUGGCAUUGUUCCAAAUGAAGCCAUGCCAAGUAGCCUGAUGUUCGGCGCUGCUACAAGUAAGAAUGCUAAGCAGGCUGAGGUAAUUAGAGGAAAUGAAUAUGUUGGCCCCCUGCAAGAUCAGAUGAAUUAGCGCGCAUUCAGGGUGCAUUGUGUGGUUCAUUUGCUGCUUGUGCUGAUAAAGGAGAUGAGGUGAUCUUCACUUGUUCUGGAUCUUGGGAAGUUUUGCCUCUGUUGAUUUCGGGAACCUCAUUAGGGAAAGAAAACAGAGGAUUUCAUGCCACAACAUGGUCUGGUUUCAGCCAAAAUUUGCUCUUAUCACAUGGGCGGCUGUUCAUAAAUCCAAGGAAAACUCUACUUGGAAAGGCUAAAAACCAAUCUAUAAAGAUUAUUUGAACCAACAAACUCGUAUUUCUAUGAAUUAAUCGAAAAAUGAUAUUAAAAUCUAAGUAAAACUCUAUUUUAACUAAUGAUUCAGCUAAACUAGGCUUAUUCGUUGAAAAAGCACCUUUUACAUGCUAAUGAAGAAACUUGUUUAUAGAGAAUAUCCUUAUUUGGCCGUUAC